CGUCCCGCUCGCUCACCGCAUGUGCGGGUGCCGCGGCGCGGCCGUCGCCAACUGAGGGGAAGUCUUCUCCAUAGACGUCACCGACUACGCCGUUGGCUUGCUGCUCGACGUAUUCUGGCGCGUGUCUGCGGCCGAGCGGUACGUCCAACACGGGUCCUGGCUGGUGCAGGGCGACCAUCCCUUUGGAUCCAAGGAUCAGGGGAGCGUACUUGUUUAAAGACCCGAGAACACGCCUGGUCAUGGAAAUGCAAAUCUCACGAGUGAAAAUCCGCGAGGACAAAAAUUGAAGGGUGUUAAAAGUUGGUAUGCCUCAGUGUCCGAUGAGAAAAGAGCGGAAUACAACCAGAAGCGGCUUACAACCCAGUCAAAAAAGGAAGCGCUAUAUAGGAUCUUUACUUGAUAAACUCCUCCGGGAUCAUUACUUUCAUGCUCCCACUACUUAUUUUUUACCGAAUUUUACAGUAUCAAUCAGUUUGCAUUUUUUGUUUUACAUUAUGUACCUUUGUUGUGCAUUUGCUUAUUUUUUGUUUAUUGUGGAUUCUACUUGCAUGGCGGAUCAUUCGUGAUGUUGAAUUAUUACAGUGAUGGAGAAUAUAAAACAAAGUACUCUGCUGCUUAGGCA